rnacentral:sRNA from 1 species
ACUGGUGGCGCUGUAUCCUAGUCAAAGCGCGCAGAUUUCGAAGAAGGGCCUAAAAAUCCUUUAAAGGGCACAUCGAUGAAGUCCCUUGUGCUUGCUUUUUUCGCCCAGAUCAGGGUGGGUGCUGGGGGUUAAGGUUUUCGGGCGAGGUGUAAUGGCAUAUACCGACCGACCCGAUCUCCGUGGAGACCUGCUAUUGUGCGACAGCCGUACCGCAGCCGUAACCGACUGCCCGGACUGCGUACGAAACAGGGAUGAACCUGCAAGGCGGUGCACAGAAUCGUGUGCUGCGUGCAGUGUAGCCUGCCUUGCGUGGAUAUGUGGGAAUAGGGGAGCGACGCGCUUUUUGCUGCGGCCACGGCAGAAAGUGAUAUUGCCCCUUGAAACCUUAUCUGCAAAAGAGGAUAGAGUUUGCGCGCGAUGUUGUGGAAAUCACCUAGGCGGUCUGAAUAAGGGCAGAUAGCGGAUUGCAGUGCGGUCUAAGUGGCAAUCGGGUAUCGGAUGCGGCGACGCUCCGACGAGACUUCAAACGGAAACGGCCUUCCGGUAACGGACGGUAGUCAAAGGGGAAAGCCGACCCGACCUAAGCCGUAAGAUUUACGCUAUUUGCUGCCACCAUUUUGAUU